rnacentral:rRNA from 1 species
CCUACGGGUGGCAGCAGUGGGGAAUAUUGGGCAAUGGGCGCAAGCCUGACCCAGCAACGCCGCGUGAAGGAAGAAGGCUGUCGGGGUGUAAACUUCUUUUAACAGGGACGAAGCACGUGACGGUACCUGAUGAAUAAGCCACGGCUAAGUAUGGGCAAGCAGCCGCGGUAAUACGUAGGUGGCAAGCGUUAUCCGGAUUUACUGGGUGUAAAGGGCGUGUAGGCGGGAGUGCAAGUCAGAUGUGAAAACUAUGGGCUCAACCCAUAACCUGCAUUUGAAACUGUCUUUCUGGAGUGCUGGAGAGGCAAUCGGAAUUCCGUGUGUAGCGGGGAAAUGCGUAGAUAUACGGAAGAACACCAGUGGCGAAGGCGGAUUACUGGACGGUAACUGACGCUGAGGCGCGAAAGCGUGGGGAGCAAACAGGAUUAGAUACCCUGGUAGUC